UUUGGUUUCAAGAACCGUGCAGGUUUGGCAUUACCACAGGGCAUCACCGGGUAGCGCGCUUGAAUUCAGACCGACGGCCAAAAAAAUCACGCCGUCCAGUCAUCCGCCAGUGUUUAUGCCCCUACGGGGUGCAAUUGCGCUUAUCGCGGUUAUGUUGUUCGUGUCACGCCAAGGAGGAAGUUUGAAUGGCAACAGGUACUGUCAAAUGGUUCAGCGAUGCCAAGGGUUUUGGAUUCAUCACCCCCGAUGACGGCGGCGAGGAUGUGUUCGCACAUUUCUCCGCCAUCCAGUCCAAUGGUUUCAAGACCCUGAAGGAAGGCCAGAAGGUCAGCUUCGAAGUCAGCCAGGGCCCCAAAGGCAAGCAGGCUUCCAAUAUCCAGCCGCAAGGCUGAGUUGUUCGAGCCAGGAAAAAACCCCGCCGCGGCGGGGUUUUUUCC
rnacentral:other from 1 species